GUGCCAGCAGCCGCGGUAAUACGUAGGUGGCAAGCGUUGUCCGGAAUUACUGGGCGUAAAGGGAGCGUAGGCGGCUAUUUAAGUGAGAUGUGAAAUACCCGGGCUCAACUUGGGAAUUGCAUUUCAUACUGGGUAGCUAGAGUGCAGGAGAGGAAAGUGGAAUUCCAAGUGUAGCGGUGAAAUGCGUAGAGAUUUGGAGGAACACCAGUGGCGAAGGCGACUUUCUGGACUGUAACUGACGCUGAGGCUCGAGAGCGUGGGGAGCAAACAGGAUUAGAUACCCUGGUAGUCCACGCUGUAAACGAUGAAUACUAGGUGUAGGGGGCGAAGCCCUCUGUGCCGCAGUUAACACAUUAAGUAUUCCGCCUGGGGAGUACGAUCGCAAGAUUAAAACUCAAAGGAAUUGACGG
rnacentral:rRNA from 1 species